rnacentral:rRNA from 1 species
CUACUAGCAAUAGCUUAAAACUCAAAGGACUUGGCGGUGCUUUAUAUCCCUCUAGAGGAGCCUGUUCUAUAAUCGAUAAACCCCGAUAAACCUCACCACCUUUCGCUAAUUCAGUCUAUAUACCGCCAUCUUCAGCAAACCCUCAAAAGGUAGAACAGUAAGCACAAUCAUUUUACAUAAAAAAGUUAGGUCAAGGUGUAACUUAUGAGGUGGGAAGAAAUGGGCUACAUUUUCUACCCAAGAACAUUUCACGAAUGUUUUUAUGAAAUUAAAAACUGAAGGAGGAUUUAGUAGUAAAUUAAGAAUAGAGAGCUU